GUAGGUGGCAAGCGUUGUCCGGAAUUAUUGGGCGUAAAGCGCGCGCAGGCGGGUCCUUUAAGUCUGAUGUGAAAGCCCACGGGCUCAAACGUGGAGGGUCAUUGGAAACUGGGGGACUUGAGUACAGAAGAGGAAAGCGGAAUUCCACGUGUAGCGGUGAAAUGCGUAGAGAUGUGGAGGAACACCAGUGGCGAAGGCGGCUUUCUGGUCUGUAACUGACGCUGAGGCGCGAAAGCGUGGGGAGCAAACAGGAUUAGAUACCCUGGUAGUCCACGCCGUAAACGAUGAGUGCUAAGUGUUAGGGGGUUUCCGCCCCUUAGUGCUGCAGCUAACGCAUUAAGCACUCCGCCUGGGGAGUACGGCCGCAAGGCUG
rnacentral:rRNA from 1 species